CUUUCUGCUCCUCAAAGCUUGCAAUUGUAUCUGAGAUUUGACCAGCUGAUAAUUGACGCUGAAUUUUCACUCUGGCAGGUUGGCAAAUUUCAUUUUUCUUUACAUAUUCAAGGUGUUUGUUUUACAUAUUCUAUCUGCAAUUUCAGUGCCUUCUUAUGAAAGCAAUUUAGAAUUAGAUCAUGAAAAGGAGCAAAAUUUGAUGAUGGCUAAUCUCAUAUGUUCUAAUCUUGAAAAUAAGACUAAUAGCAGAACAACGCUCUCAAGGUCUUCACUUCUUGCUGAACUGGCAUCAGAGAGAGUAAUGUCCUAUGCUUCACAAGAAGUGCAGGACAUUUACUAUCUUUUGGAACAGGCAUUUCUUCCCUCGGAUCUUGCACUUCUACCACCCAAGGGAUGAGGUUGCUACAACAGGUUUCUAAUGUAUUCCAGACGAUGAAGGUUGGGAACUUAGCUGGGAUGAUGCUUUUCUUUGAUUUUUCUGUAGUGGGAAAGAUUUCUGUAGAUGCUGUUAAACAUAAAUUUCUAACUAUGAAAGUUUAUCACAGGAAAAAUGUUGUAAUUUUCUGCAAGAAGGUAUGUUUUCCUUUGUUAAACUUUGCUGUACUGGAGAAAUGCAAUUUAUUUUUUUGAAGAGAAUACUGUGUUGCAUGUGUGGAAACUGA